rnacentral:rRNA from 1 species
AGCUCCAAUAGCGUAUAUUAAAGUUGUUGUGGUUAAAAAGCUCGUAGUUGGAUUUCGGCGGGUAGUGGUUGGUUUGAAUUGAUUCAACACUGACUUUUUUACCCGGGUGUUUUGCCAGAAUCUUACGGGUGAUCUUUACCGAUUGUCCGUUGGAACUGGCAGGUUUACUUUGAAAAAAUUAGAGUGCUCAAAGCAAGCUUACUGCUUGAAUAGUUGCGCAUGGAAUGAUGGAAUAGGACCUCGGUCUUAUUUUGUUGGUUUUUCUAGACCCGAGGUAAUGGUUAAUAGAGACGGACGGGGGCAUUCGUACUGCGACGCUAGAGGUGAAAUUCUUGGACCGUCGCAAGACGAACGACUGCGAAAGCAUUUGCCAAGAAUGUUUUCA